GACGAACGCUGGCGGCGUGCUUAACACAUGCAAGUCGAACGAGUGGCGGACGGGUGAGUAAUGUCUGGGAAACUGCCCGAUGGAGGGGGAUAACUACUGGAAACGGUAGCUAAUACCGCAUACCAUCGGAUGUGCCCAGUUGGGAUUAGCUAGUAGGUGGGGUAACGGCUCACCUAGGCGACGAUCACUAGCUGGUCUGAGAGGAUGACCCGCCACACUGAAACUGGGACUCGGUCCAGACGCCUCGGGGAGGCAGCAGUGGGGAAUAUUGCACAAUGUACGCAAGCCUGAUGAAGCCAUGCCGCGUGUAUGAAGAAGGCCUUCGGGUGGUAAAGUACUUUCAGCGAGGAGGCGUUGCUCGCAGAAGAAGCACGGGCUAGCUCCGUGCCAGCAGCCGCGGUAAUUC
rnacentral:rRNA from 1 species